rnacentral:ribozyme from 14 species
AGACACUCCUGGAAGGUUCGUCCUUCUCUUUUUUCUUCUUCUUCUCUUUUUUCUUCUUCCGAGGAACAAUAAUAA